rnacentral:rRNA from 1 species
ACGGCUCAGUAACACGUGGACAACCUACCCUGAGGUCGGGGAUAAACCCGGGAAACUGGGUAUAAUACCCGAUAGAUCUAGAUCGCUGGAAUGCUUUUAGGUCUAAAGUUCCGACGCCUCAGGAUGGGUCUGCGGCCUAUCAGGGUAGUAGUGGGUGUAAAGUACCUACUAGCCUACGACGGGUACGGGUUGUGAGAGCAAGAGCCCGGAGAUGGAUUCUGAGACACGAAUCCAGGCCCUACGGGGUGCAGCAGGCGCGAAACCUUUACAAUGCUGGCGACAGCGAUAAGGGGACCUCGAGUGCUACGAUACAAUCGUGGCUGUCUAGUUGCCUAAAAAGCAAUUGAUAGCAAGGGCCGGGCAAGACCGGUGCCAGCCGCCGCGGUAACACCGGCGGCUCGAGUGGUAACCGCUAUUAUUGGGUCUAAAGGGUCUGUAGCCGGCUUAGUUAGUCUCUUGAGAAAUCUGGCCGCUCAACGGUCAGGCGUUCAGGGGAUACUGCUAAAGCUCGAGACCGGGAGAGGUGAGAGGUACUUCAGGGGUAGGGGUGAAAUCUUGUAAUCCUUGAAGGACCACCAGUGGCGAAGGCGUCUCACCAGAACGGAUCUGACGGCAAGGGACGAAAGCUAGGGGCACGAACCGGAUUAGAUACCCGGGUAGUCCUAGCCGUAAACGAUACUCGCUAGGUGUCGGCCACGGUGCGACCGUGGUCGGUGCCGUAGGGAAGCCGUGAAGCGAGCCACCUGGGAAGUACGGCCGCAAGGCUGAAACUUAAAGGAAUUGGCGGGGGAGACA